rnacentral:sRNA from 1 species
CCCCGCCUGGGGAGUACGACCGCUUGGUUAAAACUCAAAUGAAUUGACGGGGACCCGCACAAGUAGUGGAGCAUGUGGUUUAAUUCAAAGAUACCCGCAGAACCUUACCAACACUUGACAUGUUCGUCGCGACUCUAAGAGAUUAAAGUUUUCGGUUCGGCCGGACGAAACACAGGUGCUGCAUGGCUGUCGUCAGCUCGUGUCGUGAGAUGUUGGGUUAAGUCCCGCAACGAGCGCAACCCUCACUUUUAGUUGCCAUCAUUNAGUUGGGCACUCUGAAAGAACUGCCAGUGAUAAGCUGGAGGAAGGUGGGGAUGACGUCAAGUCCUCAUGGCCCUUACGUGUUGGGCUACACACGUGCUACAAUGGUAUCUACAACAGGAAGCAAGACUGCGACGUUAAGCAAAUCCUUAAAAGAUACCUCAGUUCGGAUUGCACUCUGCAACUCGAGUGCAUGAAGCUGGAAUUACUAGUAAUCGUGGAUCAGCGUGCCACGGUGAAUGCGUUCCCGGGUCUUGUACACACCGCCCGUCACACCAUGGGAGUUGGUUCUACCUUAAGGCAAGGUUUAAAACCCUUGACCACGGUAUAGUCAGCGACUGGGGUGAAGUCGUAACAAGGUAGCCGUAGGGGAACCUGCGGCUGGAUUACCUCCUUUCUAAGGAUGAAUGAAAAUAAAAUUUCAUUCUAAAUAAUAUACAGGCUAAUGUUGACCGUCCUCAUUUCUCUUCUUAAAGAAGUGUUUCUCUUGCAUGGGGGCCGGUAGCUCAGUUGGUUAGAGCACACCCUUGAUAAGGGUGGGGUCAAAAGUUCGAGUCUUUCUCGGCCCACCAAAAGACAAUUAAGGGGGAUUAGCUCAGCUGGGAGAGCGCCUGAUUUGCAUUCAGGAGGUCAGCGGUUCGAUCCCGCUAUCCUCCACCAAAACACUUCGUUAUCAAAAAUAGUAAAAAUGAAUAAUUAAUAUCAAUAUCUAUAUCCGAACAUUAGAAAUGUUAUUAACUAAUGUUCAAAAAAAAUUUGAUUCAACACAGAAUUUUUUUCUG